GACGUAGGGUGCGAGCGUUGUCCGGAUUUAUUGGGCGUAAAGAGCUCGUAGGCGGCUCGUCGCGUCGACCGUGAAAACCCGCGGCUUAACUGCGGGCUUGCGGUUGAUACGGGCGGGCUAGAGUUCGGUAGGGGAGACUGGAAUUCCUGGUGUAGCGGUGAAAUGCGCAGAUAUCAGGAGGAACACCGGUGGCGAAGGCGGUUCUCUGGGCCUGUACUGACGCUGAGGAACGAAAGCGUGGGGAGCGAACAGG
rnacentral:rRNA from 1 species